rnacentral:snRNA from 1 species
AAGAAGUUUGUGAAACGAACGUG